UACGGAGGGGGCUAGCGUUGUUCGGAAUUACUGGGCGUAAAGCGCACGUAGGCGGCGAUUUAAGUCAGAGGUGAAAGCCCGGAGCUCAACUCCGGAACUGCCUUUGAGACUGGAUUGCUAGAAUCUUGGAGAGGCGAGUGGAAUUCCGAGUGUAGAGGUGAAAUUCGUAGAUAUUCGGAAGAACACCAGUGGCGAAGGCGGCUCGCUGGACAAGUAUUGACGCUGAGGUGCGAAAGCGUGGGGAGCAAACAGGG
rnacentral:rRNA from 1 species